ACGGCCGUACCAUGCUGAAUAUACCGGUUCUCGUUAGAUCACCGAAGUCAAGCAUCAUUGGGCGCGGUCAGUACUUGGGUGGGUGACUACCUGGGAACACCGCGUGCCGUU
rnacentral:rRNA from 1 species